rnacentral:rRNA from 1 species
AGAGCGAACGCUGGCGGCAGGCCUAAUACAUGCAAGUCGAACGCACCUUCGGGUGAGUGGCGGACGGGUGAGUAACACGUGGGAACGUGCCUUUUGGUUCGGAAUAAUCCGGGGAAACCUGGCCUAAUACCGGAUGUGCCCUUCGGGGGAAAGAUUUAUCGCCAUUAGAGCGGCCCGCGUCUGAUUAGCUUGUUGGUGGGGUAAUGGCCCACCAAGGCUACGAUCAGUAGCUGGUCUGAGAGGACGAUCAGCCACACUGGGAUUGAGAACGGCCCAGACUCCUACGGGGGGCAGCAGUGAGGAAUUUUCGGCAAUGGGGGCAACCCUGACCGAGCAACGCCGCGUGCAGGACGACGGCCUUCGGGUUGUAAACUGCUUUUCUCUGGGACGAGCAAGGACGGUACCAGAGGAAGAAGCCCCGGCUAACUACGCGCCAGCAGCCGC